rnacentral:rRNA from 1 species
AGUGAACGCUGGCGGUAGGCCUAACACAUGCAAGUCGAACGGCAGCACAGUAAGAGCUUGCUCUUACGGGUGGCGAGUGGCGGACGGGUGAGGAAUACAUCGGAAUCUACUUUUUCGUGGGGGAUAACGUAGGGAAACUUACGCUAAUACUGCAUACGACCUACGGGUGAAAGCAGGGGAUCUUCGGACCUUGCGCGAUUGAAUGAGCCGAUGUCGGAUUAGCUAGUUGGCGGGGUAAAGGCCCACCAAGGCGACGAUCCGUAGCUGGUCUGAGAGGAUGAUCAGCCACACUAGAACUGAGACACGGUCCAGACUCCUACGGGAGGCAGCAGUGGGGAAUAUUGGACAAUGGGCGCAAGCCUGAUCCAGCCAUACCGCGUGGGUGAAGAAGGCCUUCGGGUUGUAAAGCCCUUUUGUUGGGAAAGAAAAGCAGCAGGUUAAUACCCCGCUGUUCUGACGGUACCCAAAGAAUAAGCACCGGCUAACUUCGUG